CCACACAUAGUAACUGACAAAAGAUCUGUUUUAGAAUCGACCCCUGUUUGUGACAGACUGUGUUGGUUAUUGAUGCUUAGGAGGGUUCUCUUGAAGACCCUGACCUGGAGUUACACGCUGAUUACGGUUCUUUGUGGGAAUGGGACCCACUCUCAGGGUUUCACGACUGGCCGUUAUUUGGAACGCCAAGGGCACGGCCCAAGAUCUUCACUCACCUUCAGAGGUUCGAGAUUUGCUGGCUCUAGAGAUGGGGGUGGGGGAGGUGGGAAAAACGAGAGGUCGGUGUCUGGGCAGAUCGGUGUGUCGCAGGAGAUGGAAGAUCUCGGGCUGUUUGCCCAGAGACCCGAGAUCUUUGGGUACAGAGCUCGGAAGAAGCGACGCGACAGACUUUUAACAACGUAAACCAACGAGUUGUUUGUUACGUCUCCCCAGUCACUGUGAAAGGGAGGGAGAGAGUCUGUGGUAUGUUGAAUGCUGGCUGAACAAUGUUGACUUUGGAGUAACUGCAAGUCUGUGUCUUUGCUGUUGCUUUGCUCACACUUGAGUUCUCGGUGGCGGGUGACGAUGGGGGAGGGGGGAUUGUUGCUUGCUGCUGUUUAUGCGCAGGAGGGAGGGGUGCUGAGCGGGGGACUUUGGAGUUCUAACAUUUAGUUGUAAUCCAUUCUUUGGGAGUACUCCUCUGUUUUAGUUGCAAAGUAAAACCAUUUCAGGAUAUAUAUUGUAUACAUUUCUCUGACAUUAAGUGUACCUUUUUGAAAACGAUGGCUUUCAUAGAAUGUCUCAAAGACUCAUCUUUUAUCUUCUAUAAUCUUUGUCUUUGAUGUAACCAGUCAGGAUACUUUCAACAGUACAUCUGUGGGAGUUAGUGAGAAUAUUAGGUAACAUGGCAAAUUUCCUUAAGCUUCUGUGCUUUCCUUGUGGUGGCAUCAAUGGGCUGCGUCUGAUAUCCAUUGCUCAUUUCUUGUUGCUGGUGAUGAGCUGUCUUUUUGAACCAUUACAGUGAAGUGGAGAACUUUGUAGUGAAGGCAUUCCUGCUGUUGGGGAGGGAGUUCCUGGGAUUAGUGCUGGGUGUGUAUAUUCACAGGUCAGAAUGCUGGGCAAUGUCCAAUGCAACCAGCAGAUGGCAGUUGAAGCCUUAUUCCUGGUGAACACGCAGAUCCAGUAAAGAGAGCAUCCCAUCACACUCUGGGCCGAUGCGGAAAAACGGAGAGCACGUCCUAACAUACACAACGCAUUUCACUGUGUGUUACUAUGUACACGUGAUGAAUAAAUCCGUAUCUGAAUCUGAACUUUGAUCGACCGAGAAUCUGCUGGAAGAACUCAGCAGGUCAAGUAGCAUCUGUGGGUGGAAGGCACUUGUUGCGUUUCAGUCCCUGCGUUGGGACGGAACCGCUGAGUUGCUCCAGCAGGUGUCUGUCGAUCCAGAUUCUAGCAUUUGCAGUCGCUUUUGUCACCAGACGAAACAGCAUGAAUAGCAGCGAUGCUGCACUACCAGAUGAGCUCAACGCCUUCUGUGCUCGCUUUGAAAAGGAGAACACAACUACAACUGUGAAGAUCCCUGCUGCACCUGAUGACCCUGUGAUCUCUGUCUCAGAGGCCGAUGUCAGGCUGUCUUUAAAGGGAGUGAACCCUUGCAAGGCAGAAGGUCCCGGUGGAGUACCUGGUAAGGGUCUGAAAAGCUGUGCCAACCAACUAGCGGGAGUAUUCAAGGACAUUUUCAACCUCUCACUGCUAGGGGCCGAAGUUCCCACUUGCUUCAAAAAGGAAACAAUUAUACCAGUGCCUAAGAAGGAUAACGUGAGCUGCCUUAUUGACUAUCAGCCAGUAGCACUCACAUCAACAGUGAUGAAAUGCUUUGAGAGGUUGGUCAUGACUAGAUUGAACUCCUGACUCAGCAAGGACCCAGACCCAUUGCAAUUUGCCCAUCGCCACAAUAGGUCAAUGGCAGAUGCAAUCUCAAUGGCUCUCCACAUGGCUUUAGACCACCUAGACAACACAAACACCUACGGCAGGAUGCUGUUCAUUAACAAUAGCUAAGCAUUUAAUACCAUCAUUCCCACAAUCCUGAUCGAGAAGUUGCAGAACAUGGGCCUCUGUACCUCCCUCUGCAAUUGGAUCCUCGACAUCCUUACCGGAAGAUCACAAUCUGUGCGGAUUGGCGAUAAAAUCUCCUCCUCGUUGAUGAUCAAUACUGGUGCACCUCAAGGGUGUGUGCUUAGCCCACUGCUCUACUCUCUAUAUAAACAUGACUGUGUGGCUAGGCACAGCUCAAAUACCAUCUGUAAAUUUGCUGACAAUACAACCAUUGUUGGUAGAAUCUCAGGUGGUGAUGAGAUUAUUGAAAUAUUGAUUGAAUAUCCGCUGGAACACCCUCUCACCUUAAAUAAACCUCCUCAAGUGUUUGAGGAUUCUGCCCCGGGAAAAAAUGCUCUCAGCCAUUUCGUAAUGUCGUGCAGAGGAUGAAACUGAGUUCUUUUUGAAGGCUGGCAUCUGUGAUGGUGGGGUCUCAGGAUCAUUCACCCAGUACUUCUGAUUGAACAGCCUUUAACACUCUGAAGGAAAUAGAGUAAUGGAAGAACUCAACAGGUCAAGCGCUCCUCGCUUUGCCCGGCCCUGCUGCAGAACCACAGAGCUUCAAUCAGAUCCAGUGGCUGGGGGCUGCUCAUCUCUUUCUCUCACACACAGUUGCUGUGGUAGCGUGAGGUGCUGGCAAUCUCACAUGGGGUACAAGUCCAAGUGCAAGCAAGCAGCCAGUGUUCUGACAUAGUAAAGUCUUCCCCAACAGUAUUCAGCCCCAUAGCUAAGAAAGGAGGUGCUGGCAUUGGAGAGGGUCGAGGGGAGGUUUCUGAGAAUGAUCCUGGUAAUAAAAUGAUUAACGUAUGA